rnacentral:rRNA from 1 species
GUGUCAGCCGCCGCGGUAAUACAGAAACCUCAAGCGUUAUCCGGAUUUAUUGGGCGUAAAGCGCAGGUAGGUGGAUAUGUUAGUCAGGUGUUAAAUUUCCGGGCCCAACCCAGAAACUGCAUUUGAAACGGCAUAUCUAGAGGAAACGAGGGACCACUGGAACUUAUGGUGUAGCAGUGAAAUGCGUUGAUAUCAUAAGGAACACCAAAGGCGAAGGCAUGUGGUUGGCGUUUUUCUGACACUGAGCUGCGAAAGCGUGGGUAGCGAAUGGGAUUAGAUACCCGGGUAGUCC